UCGGACGUGGUGCAGCGCAGCACGGCCUCUCCUCUUGGACGACUCUUCAGAGUAAGAGGCAGACUCGGGUUCGACUCCCGGCGUCCGAA